GAAAGAAAAUCCGUUAAGGAUCUGUGGACUGGAGCAGAGAUCAGGCUAUCCCUGGCUGGCGCCCGGGGCUCCCCCAGACUCCUCUCCCAGCCACAGGGCCGAGGGGCCAGUGCUUUUGGCUGACACCCCGCCUCCCGCCUGCAGCCCCAGUUUCCAGCCCUUGGCACAGAUAGGCUCUUGCGAAAGGGACGACUCCAACGCAGAGAUGCCCAGUCAGCACUGUGCCCUCUCCCGCCAAACGCGCUUACGCUGCCCAAGUGCACACUACGGUCUCCUUCACCCACAGGCUGCUCUAUGUGAGCGUGCCGCGCCCGCGGUCCCAGCUCCGUGCGUGGAGUUACUACUUCUGGGGUGCAAGCCCUGGUCCCGCUGGUCAUGGAGGAGGGCAUUGUGCCCAGCCCAGCCCUCUCUACUCCCUUACUGCCAGAGAUGCGGUCUCAGUAUGUUGUCCAGGCUGAUCUCAGAUCCUUGGCCUCAAAGGAUCCUCCUGUCUGGGUCUCUCAAACUGCUGGGAAUACAAGCAUGAGCCACCACAGCUGACGAACAGCUAUUUUUGAAUAAAGUAAAGGAAGAGAGGGAGGGAGAGAAGAAGGAAGAAGAAAAAAAAGAAAAGAAGUGAAGGAGGGUUGUGAGUACUCAUAACUAAUGAGUGGCUGAACUGGGGACCAAAUCCAUGUAUGCCUGAUUUCAAAUCCUAUGCCCUUAACUAGUAUUUGGAUUUGCUAAGUAUAUAUAUUUGACUGAUUAGCCACCUUUCAGAUUCACUGUUCUAUGACAUAUGCCUCAUUAUUAUUUCCCGUUUAUCACUGUUAAACAUAGUUUUAAAGUGAAGGCCUCCUCUUCCAAGAGGCGCAGCGGAGUCCUAUAUGGCUCAUCAAAUGAAUUAUGAAAGUUAAUACUUUUAAAGGACUAACAGGCUGUAAACCAAUCUAUUGAUUACAACUUUCG
rnacentral:lncRNA from 1 species